UGUCUCUAAGAAGAACAAUCCUUCUUUUUGUGCAAAUUCUUUAGCAUCCUCGGUGGGAACAGCUCGUUGAUCUUCAAGAUCGGUUUUGUUUCCGAUCAGCAUAAUAACGAUGUUCUUGUCAGCAUGUGCACGUAAUUCUUCAAGCCAGCGUGGGAUGUGAUCAAAGGUCUGACGUUUUGUUAUGUCGUAAACCAACAGAGCUCCGACAGCUCCCCUGUAGUACGCACUCGUGACAGCUCUAUAUCUUUCUUGGCCAGCAGUA
rnacentral:misc_RNA from 1 species